GGGCCCCAUCCCCCAGAGUUUCUGACCUCCUAGGCCUGGGGUAAGGCCUGAGAAUUUGCAUUUCUAACGAGUUCUCAUGUGAUGCAGAUGAUGCUGGUCCUGACAACACCAUGCUCUAGGCAACCAAAAGGGCUUACUGGGUUUCAAGCAAGACAUCCAUAAGCUUUUUCCAGUGUUCCCUUUUCCACUAGUCCUGGAGCCAGCAUGUAGAACAAGACACCAUCCUGUCCCCAGCUGGGACCAUAUAAUAUCCAUCCUCCCUGCUUUGAUAACAGAACUCCCGAGUUUCAGCUGGCAGCCUAUGUGGCCAUGCGCAUAAACUCUGAACAACAGAAUGUAAGAAGAAAUGAUGUGUGCCACCUAUGAGUUGUACCCCUGAAAAGAAAUGUGUGGAAGCUCUGCAUGGAGGACUCCACUGACACCCUGGCAGCCCUGGACCACCUCCUCCUGUACAGUCAUACAAGGAAGAGAGAAACUUCUAUCUCAGUUAAGCCAUUAUAUCUUGAAGUUUAUUUGUUAUAGCAGCCUGGCUAAUACCCUAAUACAAAAAUUACACUGAGAAUGUCUUUCUUGCCUUUGGGUAUUUUGGGAGCAAAGGAAAAUAACUUGGAGUUGAGGAAAGGGAGUAGAAGAGAAAUUAAGAACUACUCAGUUCUGACCCAAUUCUGCCACAGAAGGCUGGGGCUUCUCACAUCAUAAAACAUUAGAGCUCCUACUUGUACUGAUAUGAAAUAACCUCAAGAAAAAUUGCUGAUAUGCUAUUGUUAGCUAAUUUUUAAAGGUUUAUAUAUAUGCAAGCGUUCUAAAUGUAGACUAUUUCUGGAAGAAUACCAACAAAUUUCUUAGGUGGCUGCCUCUGGAGAUGGGGACUGAAGGACAGGAAGACAGCGUUGGAGGAAAAGAACUCGCUUUUGGAUGCUUUCUGAAUGUUAUUUCAUGUGUAACUAUAAAAAAAUAGUAACAUUUAAACCUUAAGAAGUCAACAACCUAAAACUAAUUUUUAGAGAGGAUUAAAAUCUCAGCUAUUAACCCUUUAUCUCAUAUGAAUGAUUUUCACCCUUUUUCGGUGACCAUAGCUCACAGUGGCACAAUGAGAAAAAAAUGUCGCAUUUUUGAAGGCCAUUGUUAUCAACGGAUGUGAAAGCAAACUUCCUUUUGGACAUAAGUAUGCAUAGCUUUCAAAUGGCACAAGAAAAAUCAGAUCUUUCCUCAAUGUAUUUUUUCGUUUGUUUCCAGUGGAAGCAGAAAUCAGCAGCAGCCUAGCAUCCUUGAAACUUUCCCUCGUUUCCCCCAACACCAUCAUCAUUUUAUAAAGGUCAUCCCACAAUGAACGGGUUGCCAAGUCAGGGUGAAGGCAGCUCCGCGACGGCCCUCAUUACGCUGAUCUGUGCUGUCUUCCAUCCCCUCAUCAGCAGCAAAGUCAAUAUUUCAUCUGGGAGCUAAAAUUAAGUCAUCACCCCUCCUGUGAGCAACACUACUCCUGAAAUAAAAAUUUUACAACAUUAGGUUGGAGGAGGAUCACUUAGCAUUUGAAAACACUUCCCCUGUGACCUUGAGCUUUUAUCGCUUGGGAGCCAAAAUAAAAUCUCUCAGGCAAGAUUUAUGAAUAAAUAAUUAACCAUGAAAAUAAAAGCAGCACAGAAAAAGAAGUAGGUCCUUUCCAUUUACAGCCAAAGUUGGUGUGUGUGUGUGUGUGUGUGUGUGUGUGUGUGUGUGUGUGUGUGUGACUUUCUCUUUUAUGCACAUGGUGUUUUCAAGAAAAAAAAAAUCCAAGAUAUAAAAGCCUGACAUCACCACAGGAGCCGUAAAACAUUCGGACAGAUUCUGCAUGGCCUGCUUCCUCCAUGGGCCUUCCUGGAUCCUCAGAAAGUACCCAGGUCACCCAGACACUGAGCAGCAAUGACAGCCCUCACUGCUCUCCAUCCUCCUGGGGUUGGCUUCUCCCCACCCGACUCGACCCUUCCCAGCAAGAGCAAGGGGUGUUUUCCUAGUGGUCCACCUGCCAGCCAAGGUGGGUCUGAAGGGGAAGUAGCAGGAACUGAGUCCCACAGAGAAGACUCUGGGCUCACACAUCCCCCAUCUCAGAGCAGGGCUCUCUAAAAGCAGUUCACCCAGUGAAACAAAAAUGACGACACUGGGGAACACUCAGCUCAGUUUCAAGGCAACCAGGAAAAAUAAUCACAAAUUAAGAGAGCUCCCUCCCUCCUUUAAAUGCAAACUCAGC
rnacentral:lncRNA from 1 species